AGUGAACGCUGGCGGUAGGCCUAACACAUGCCAGUCGAACGGCAGCACAGUAAGAGCUUGCUCUUACGGGUGGCGAGUGGCGGACGGGUGAGGAAUACAUCGGAAUCUACCUUUUUGUGGGGGAUAACGUAGGGAAACUUACGCUAAUACCGCAUACGACCUACGGGUGAAAGCAGGGGAUCUUCGGACCUUGCGCGAUUGAAUGAGCCGAUGUCGGAUUAGCUAGUUGGCGGGGUAAAGGCCCACCAAGGCGACGAUCCGUAGCUGGUCUGAGAGGAUGAUCAGCCACACUGGAACUGAGACACGGUCCAGACUCCUACGGGAGGCAGCAGUGGGGAAUAUUGGACAAUGGGCGCAAGCCUGAUCCAGCCAUACCGCGUGGGUGAAGAAGGCCUUCGGGUUGUAAAGCCCUUUUGUUGGGAAAGAAAAGCAGCAGGUUAAUACCCCGCUGUUCUGACGGUACCCAAAGAAUAAGCACCGGCUAACUUCGUG
rnacentral:rRNA from 1 species